AGAAAGGGUUGAGCUGGAAUUAAUGAUAAUAUUAAACAGAUCAAUCGCAUGAAAACUGAGAGAAAUAUAAAUGUGCCUAUUAACAGCAACACUGAAGUUUUGGAGCGACUGAAUGACUACUUUUAAACCUAAGACAGAGGUUACAACAAAGACCAAACAUUAGGAUAUCAAAAACACAGUGCAACUUCCAGUGAACCCACCACGGUGAAGAGAUGAACUAAGUGAGACUACCCAGCUCAAAGAAAAGGCUCCCACAAAUGUCCAGAGAUAGUGGGACAGACACUUGGAUAUGGAUCAACUGAUCAAACAGAGUAUGGGUGGAUUUGUCAACUUGAAAACUCAAGUGUAAAGCUGACAGUGGAAUUUCUUUGGAAUUGAGCAUCUUUAAAAAGAAUAAACACAAUGAAACUUUGUUUUUCUGUUUGUGUUAAUGUCUUUCUCAGUGUCCUGUGUUGUUUCUUUUGUGUAAUUAACCCGUGCUCUGUGUUUGAAGAGCCUCUGUAGGUUCCUGUGAAUAUGUUUCAGUGUCCGUCAGCACCAUAAAUAAUAAACAUGUCAAGAAAAUGAUCCAUCAAGUCAGGCUUUCU